UUGAAUGUCUUGUUGAGAUUUGCCUGGCUACAAACAGUGUUGAAUUUCCAGGUUUUUUACUUACACAAACCAACCCUAACUGUACUUGUAGCCUCCCUAGAGAUUUUUCGACGUGACAUGUGGAGUUUCUUCAGGUUGGAGAAUGAACAUUUGAAUAAUGUAGGCAAGUAUCGUGCAUUCAAGACAGUACCUUUGCCUUUCAACUAUGAUGAAGAGGAGGACAAAAAUGAUUGAAGUUUCACACCAACGUACAAAAGGAAGGCUAAAAUUUAUCUAAGAUCCCUAAAGUAUGUACUAUUUCUUGUCAUUUUAGUACUCAAAGUUUUAAUUUUGACAAUUUCAUCCUUGAAAUUUUGCAA